rnacentral:rRNA from 1 species
ACGCUGUAAACGAUGUCGACUUGGAGGUUGUUCCCUUGAGGAGUGGCUUCCGGAGCUAACGCGUUAAGUCGACCGCCUGGGGAGUACGGCCGCAAGGUUAAAACUCAAAUGAAUUGACGGGGGCCCGCACAAGCGGUGGAGCAUGUGGUUUAAUUCGAUGCAACGCGAAGAACCUUACCUACUCUUGACAUCCAGAACUUAGCAGAGAUGCUUUGGUGCCUUCGGGAACUGAGACAGGUGCUGCAUGGCUGUCGUCAGCUCGUGUUGUGAAAUGUUGGGUUAAGUCCCGCAACGAGCGCAACCCUUAUCCUUUGUUGCCAGCGGUCCGGCCGGGAACUCAAAGGAGACUGCCAGUGAUAAACUGGAGGAAGGUGGGGAUGACGUCAAGUCAUCAUGGCCCUUACGAGUAGGGCUACACACGUGCUACAAUGGCAUAUACAAAGAGAAGCGACCUCGCGAGAGCAAGCGGACCUCAUAAAGUAUGUCGUAGUCCGGAUUGGAGUCUGCAACUCGACUCCAUGAAGUCGGAAUCGCUAGUAAUCGUGGAUCAGAAUGCCACGGUGAAUACGUUCCCGGGCCUUGUACACACCGCCCGUCACACCAUGGGAGUGGGUUGCAAAAGAAGUAGGUAGCUUAACCUUCGGGAGGGCGCUUACCACUUUGUGAUUCAUGACUGGGGUGAAGUCGUAACAAGGUAACCGUAGGGG